rnacentral:rRNA from 1 species
CAGCCGCCGCGGUAAAACAGAGGGUGCGAGCGUUAAUCGGAUUUACUGGGCGUAAAGCGUGCGUAGGCGGCUUCUUAAGUCGGAUGUGAAAUCCCUGAGCUUAACUUAGGAAUUGCAUUCGAUACUGGGAAGCUAGAGUAUGGGAGAGGAUGGUAGAAUUCCAGGUGUAGCGGUGAAAUGCGUAGAGAUCUGGAGGAAUACCGAUGGCGAAGGCAGCCAUCUGGCCUAAUACUGACGCUGAGGUACGAAAGCAUGGGGAGCAAACAGGAUUAGAUACCCGAGUAGUCCCUGUCUCUUAUAC